GAUGAACGCUGGCGGCGUGCCUAAUACAUGCCAGUCGAGCGAACAGAUAAGGAGCUUGCUCCUUUGACGUUAGCGGCGGACGGGUGAGUAACACGUGGGUAACCUACCUAUAAGACUGGGAUAACUUCGGGAAACCGGAGCUAAUACCGGAUAAUAUUUCGAACCGCAUGGUUCGAUAGUGAAAGAUGGUUUUGCUAUCACUUAUAGAUGGACCCGCGCCGUAUUAGCUAGUUGGUAAGGUAACGGCUUACCAAGGCGACGAUACGUAGCCGACCUGAGAGGGUGAUCGGCCACACUGGAACUGAGACACGGUCCAGACUCCUACGGGAGGCAGCAGUAGGGAAUCUUCCGCAAUGGGCGAAAGCCUGAAGGAGCAACGCCGCGUGAGUGAUGAAGGUCUUCGGAGCGUAAAACUCUGUUAUUAGGGAAGAACAUACGUGUAAGUAACUGUGCACGUCUUGACGGUACCUAAUCAGAAAGCCACGGCUAACUACGUG
rnacentral:rRNA from 1 species